rnacentral:rRNA from 1 species
AUUGAACGCUGGCGGCAGGCCUAACACAUGCAAGUCGAACGAGUGGCGGACGGGUGAGUAAUGUCUGGGAAACUGCCUGAUGGAGGGGGAUAACUACUGGAAACGGUAGCUAAUACCGCAUACCCUCAGAUGUUCCCAGAUGGGAUUAGCUAGUGGGUGGGGUAACGGCUCACCAAGGCGACGAUCCCUAGCUGGUCUGAGAGGAUGACCAGCCACACUGGAACUGAGACCCGGUCCAGACUCCUACGGGAGGCAGCAGUGGGGAAUAGUGCACGAUGGGCGAAAGCCUGAUGCAGCCAUGCGGCUUGUAUGAAGAAGGCCUUCGGGUUGUAAAGUACUUUCAGCGAGGAGGCGUUACCCGCAGAAGAAGCACCGGCUAACUCCGUGCCAGCAGCCGCGGUAAUUC